rnacentral:tRNA from 4 species
GGGCAGUUAGCUCAGCGGUAGAGCGGCUCGUUUACACCGAGUUGGUCGGGGGUUCGAUCCCCUCACUGCCCA